rnacentral:misc_RNA from 1 species
UGUUCGAGCGUCAUUUCACCACUCAAGCCUCGCUUGUUAUUGGGCGCCGCGGUCCGCUGCGCGCCCUAAUGUCUCCGGCUGAGCCGUCCGUCUCAAAGCGUUGUGGCAACUCAAUCCGCUACUGGGACCGGGCGACCCGGCCGUUAAAUACCCCACUCAAGGUUGACCUCGGAUCAGGUAGGGAUACCCGCUGAACUUAA